ACGAACGCUGGCGGCGUGCUUAACCCAUGCAAGUCGAACGGGCUCUGUCUGGCUGUGUGCUGGGUGGGGUUAGUGGCGAACGGGUGAGUAAUACGUGAGUAACCUGCCCUCUUCUUUGGGAUAAGCCUUGGAAACGGGGUCUAAUACUGGAUAUUCCUGUCUGGUCGCAUGGCUGGGUGGGGAAAGUUUUUUUCGGUGGGGGAUGGGCUCGCGGCCUAUCAGCUUGUUGGUGGGGUGAUGGCCUACCAAGGCGUCGACGAGUAGCCGGCCUGAGAGGGUGACCGGCCACACUGGGACUGAGAUACGGCCCAGACUCCUACGGGAGGCAGCAGUGGGGGAUAUUGCACAAUGGGCGCAAGCCUGAUGCAGCGACGCCGCGUGGGGGAUGACGGCUUUCGGGUUGUAAACCUCUUUCGUCGGGGGACAAGGCUCUGCUUGGUGGUGGGGUUGAGGGUACCCGGUGAAGAAGCGCCGGCUAACUACGUG
rnacentral:rRNA from 1 species